GACGAAGGGGGCUAGCGUUGUUCGGAAUUACUGGGCGUAAAGCGCGUGUAGGCGGUUGUCCAAGUUGGAUGUGAAAGCCUUGAGCUUAACUCAAGAAAUGCAUUCAGGACUGGAUGACUAGAGGACCGGAGAGGAUAGUGGAAUUCCCAGUGUAGUGGUGAAAUACGUAGAGAUUGGGAAGAACACCAGUGGCGAAGGCGGACUAUCUGGCCUGUUCUUGACGCUGAGGAGCGAAAGUGUGGGGAGCGAACAGG
rnacentral:rRNA from 1 species